rnacentral:rRNA from 1 species
GACGUAGGGCGCGAGCGUUUGUCCGGAAUUAUUGGGCGUAAAGAGCGCGUAGGCGGUCCGAUAAGUCGGCUGUGAAAGUCAAGGGCUCAACCCUUGAAAGCCGGCCGAUACUGUCGGACUAGAGUCCGGAAGAGGCGAGUGGAAUUCCCGGUGUAGCGGUGAAAUGCGCAGAUAUCAGGAGGAACACCGAUGGCGAAGGCAGGUCUCUGGGCCAUAACUGACGCUGAGAAGCGAAAGCAUGGGGAGCGAACAGG